rnacentral:rRNA from 1 species
ACCCGUUGAUCCUGCGGGAGGUCGCUGCUAUUAGGAUUCGAUUAAGCCAUGCAAGUCAGAGGGUCUCUUCGGAGACACAGGCAAACUGCUCAGUAACACGUUGAUAAUCUGCCUUUAGGUCUGGAAUAACCUUGGAAAACUGAGGCUAAAGCCGGAUAGGGGAUAUUUUCUGGAAUGAUUUUUCCUUGAAAAGUAAUGCCUAAAGAUGAGUCAGCGGUCGAUUAGGCAGUUGGCGGGGUAACGGCCCACCAAACCUAAGAUCGAUAGGGGCCUUGAAAGAGGGAGCCCCGAGAAGGACACUGAGAUACUGGUCCUAGCCCUACGGGGUGCAGCAGGCGCGAAACCUUUACAAUGCACGUAAGUGUGAUAAGGGAAUCCUAAGUGCUCAUACAAUGUAUGGGCUUUUGCCAAGAGUAAGUAUCUUGGAGAAUAAGUGGUGGGCAAGACUGGUGCCAGCAGCCGCGGUAAUACCAGCGCCACAAGUGGGGGCCGGCUUUAUUUGGCCUAAAGCGUCCGUAGCCUGUUCAGUAAAUCUUUUGUGAAAUCAUUAUGCUCAACUUAAUGGCAUGCAGAAGACACUGCUAAACUCGGAACAGGGAGGAGUCAGAAGUAUUUUUGGGGGAGCGGUAAAAUGCAGUAAUCCCAAAAAGACUACCUGUGGCGAAGGCGUCUGACUAGAACUGCUUCGACGGUGAGGGACGACAGCCAGGGGAGCGAUCCGGAUUAGAUACCCGAGUAGUCCUGGCCGUAAACGCUGUGAGCUAGGUGUCGCGUAUUCCACGGGAAUACGCGGUGUCGAAAUGAAGAUGAUAAGCUCACCGCCUGGGAAGUAUAGUCGCAAGACCGAAACUUAAAGGAAUUGGCGGGGGAGCACUACAAGGGGUGCGGCGUGCGGUUUAAUCCAAUUCUACGCGGAAAAUCUCACCAGAGGCGACGGCAGUAUGAAGGUCAGGCUGAAUGUCUUACCAGACGAGCCGAGAGGUAGUGCAUGGCCGCCGUCAGCUCGUGCCGUAAGGUGUCCUGCUAAGUCAGGUAACGAGCGAGACCUGUACCUACAGUUGCUAACGAUUCCAUCGGAAGAUCGAGCACACUGUGGGGACUGCUUCCGAAAGGGAGAGGAAGGUGCAGGCUACGAUAGGUCUGUAUGCUCCGAAUCUUCUGGGCUACACGCGCGCAACAAUGGUAAGGACAAUGGGAUACAACCCCGACAGGGGAAGUCAAACCUCAAAACCUUAUCUCAGUUCAGAUUGAGGAUUGUAACCCAUCCUCAUGACGCUGGAAUCCCUAGUAAUCAGACGUCAUCAUCGUCCGGUGAAUAUGUCCCUGCUCCUUGCACACACCGCCCGUCAAACCACUCGAGCAGGGUUUAGGUGAGCCCUAAUGUGUAAUUAGGUCGAAUCUAAGCUCAGUGAGAUGGGUUAAGUCGUCACAAGGUA